rnacentral:rRNA from 1 species
GACGAACGCUGGCGGCGUGGAUUAGGCAUGCAAGUCGGACGGUAGGGCUUUAUCGUAAGAUAGAGUUUGAGAGUGGCGAACGGGUGAGUAACACGUAGGAAUCUACCCUUAAGACGGGGACAACCCAGGGAAACUUGGGCUAAUACCGGAUGAGAGUGCGAGAGAUUGCAUUUAAAAGGAUGGCGAAAGUUGUCGCUUAGGGAUGAGCCUGCGGUCUAUUAGUUAGUUGGUGAGGUAAGAGCUCACCAAGGCGAUGAUAGAUAGGCGGCCUUAACGGGUGGUCGCCCACACUGGGAUUGAGAUACGGCCCAGACUCCUACGGGAGGCAGCAGUCGAGAAUAGUCUACAAUGGCCGGAAGACUGAUAGUGCGACGCCGCGUGAACGAUGAAUCCCUUCGGGUGUAAGUUCUUUUAUAUGUGAGCAGUGCUUCUUAUAUUAACAGUAUGGGGAGAGAGAUAUUAGCAUAUGAAUAAGCAACGGCUAACUCCGUGCCAGC